UGGCUCAGAACGAACGCUGGCGGCAGGCCUAACACAUGCAAGUCGAGCGAGGACUUCGGUCCUAGCGGCGGACGGGUGAGUAACGCGUGGGAACGUGCCCUUUGGUACGGAAUAGCCCCGGGAAACUGGGAGUAAUACCGUAUGGUGUCUUCGGACUAAAGAUUUAUCGCCAAAGGAUCGGCCCGCGUUGGAUUAGGUAGUUGGUGGGGUAAUGGCCUACCAAGCCGACGAUCCAUAGCUGGUUUGAGAGGAUGAUCAGCCACACUGGGACUGAGACACGGCCCAGACUCCUACGGGAGGCAGCAGUGGGGAAUCUUAGACAAUGGGGGCAACCCUGAUCUAGCCAUGCCGCGUGAGUGAUGAAGGCCCUAGGGUUGUAAAGCUCUUUCAGCUGGGAAGAUAAUGACGGUACCAGCAGAAGAAGCCCCGGCUAACUCCGUG
rnacentral:rRNA from 1 species